rnacentral:rRNA from 1 species
UGAGUAACGAUAAAGGGGGUGAAAAACCUCCUCGCCGGAAGACCAAGGGUUCCUGUCCAACGUUAAUCGGGGCAGGGUAAGUCGACCCCUAAGGCGAGGCCGAAAGGCGUAGUCGAUGGGAAACGGGUUAAUAUUCCCGUACUUCUUACAAUUGCGAUGGGGGGACGGAGAAGGCUAGGUGGGCCUGGCGACGGUUGUCCAGGUUCAAGUGCGUAGGCUUGAGAGUUAGGUAAAUCCGGCUCUCUCUAAGGCUGAGACACGACGUCGAGCACCUACGGGUGUGAAGUCAUUGAUGCCAUGCUUCCAGGAAAAGCCUCUAAGCUUCAGAUUGUAAGGAAUCGUACCCCAAACCGACACAGGUGGUCGGGUAGAG